ACAACCGGAGCAAAGUGGUUUAUGAUUGAAUCUCAGAGGCAUUCUUAGCAUUUGGUAGAUCCAAGUCCAUGGCCUAUUUCGGGUUCACUCGGAGCUUUGGCAACCACCAUAGGAGGUGUGAUGUACAUGCACUCAUUUCAAUGGGGUGCAACACUUUUCAGUUUGGGCCUAAUAUUUCUCCUUUAUACCAUGUUCGUAUGGUGGCGGGAUGUUCUACGUGAAUCCACCUUGGAAGAAAACUUUGUUUUUCCCACUCUAGUUUUUGCCGACUUUACUUAUGCCACUCUAGAAUUUAACAUUUCAGGUUUGCCACGCGUAGCUUUUGACAAUACAUCACAAUUGUCAUUUCAUGGCAAAAUUACAAUUUUCAAAGUGGCAAUUGUGAAACAUUGUCAAAGCUAA
rnacentral:rRNA from 1 species